CAGGGCACAGAGUAAGGAACCUUCCCCCCGGGGGGAGGCAGGGAGCGGGUCUGCUGGCUCUCCGCGUCCCAGAGACCAGACACCCUCGGGCCUUGGAGCCCCGAUGAGAAAUGUGUCUGGAGUGUUCUGGGAGCCCCGACUCCCACGGGCCUUCCUCCUCAGACGGGGCGGGCUCAUCCUUCCUUGGGCAGCUAUUUCCCCUCUCACUCCCGCUGCCUUGGCGCUGGUGAGGCGGGGAACAGCCCCCAGACUGGCUCACCGGCGGUGGCUGACCAAGAGCCAUGAGCAGAUGAGGAAACUGCCGGAGACACUCAGUAGUCACCCAUCUAAAGGAUAUCGCAUUGCACUGAAGACUAAAUAGUUUAUAAAGUUUAGAAAGUCCCCUCCCAGUUCCAAAAGCAAAGGGACAAUAGACCUUCAUGGUGAAGUAAGAGCUUUGGGUGUGUUCAUUAGCAAACGAAGGCUGUGCUGUGCGACUUUGG